rnacentral:tRNA from 1 species
UAGCCCAGUUGGUAGAGUGCUUGCCUCUCAUGCAAAAGGCCCUAGGUUCAAUUUCUAG